GGAGUCUGGGCCGUAUCUCAGUCCCAAUGUGGCCGUUUAACCUCUCAGUCCGGCUACUGAUCAUCGUCUUGGUGGGCCGUUACCUCACCAACUAACUAAUCAGACGCAAGCUCAUCUAUUAGCGGAUUACUCCUUUCCUGUUUGUACCAUGCGAUACUCACAGCAUAUGCGGUAUUAGCAAUGAUUUCUCACUGUUAUCCCCCUCUAAUAGGCAGAUUGCUUACGCGUUACUCACCAGUCCGCCACUAACCGCUUCAAAAGUAAACUUUCGAUUAAGUUCGUUCGACUUGCAUGUCUUAUGUGCGCCGCCAGCGUUUAUCCUGAGCCACGGAUCAAACUACU
rnacentral:rRNA from 1 species